rnacentral:rRNA from 1 species
GAUGAACGCUGGCGGCGUGCCUAAUACAUGCCAGUCGAGCGAACGGACGAGAAGCUUGCUUCUCUGAUGUUAGCGGCGGACGGGUGAGUAACACGUGGAUAACCUACCUAUAAGACUGGGAUAACUUCGGGAAACCGGAGCUAAUACCGGAUGAUAUUUUGAACCGCAUGGUUCAAAAGUGAAAGACGGUCUUGCUGUCACUUAUAGAUGGAUCCGCGCUGCAUUAGCUAGUUGGUAAGGUAACGGCUUACCAAGGCAACGAUGCAUAGCCGACCCGAGAGGGUGAUCGGCCACACUGGAACUGAGACACGGUCCAGACUCCUACGGGAGGCAGCAGUAGGGAAUCUUCCGCAAUGGGCGAAAGCCUGACGGAGCAACGCCGCGUGAGUGAUGAAGGUCUUCGGAUCGUAAAACUCUGUUAUUAGGGAAGAACAUAUGUGUAAGUAACUGUGCACAUCUUGACGGUACCUAAUCAGAAAGCCACGGCUAACUACGUG